UGCGUAGGCGGUUUAUCAAGUCAGGGGUGAAAGGCUACGGCUCAACCGUAGUGAGCCUCUGAAACUGGUGAACUUGAGUGUAGGAGAGGAUAGCAGAAUUCCAGGUGUAGGGGUGAAAUCCGUAGAGAUCUGGAGGAAUAUCAGUGGCGAAGGCGGCUAUCUGGUGCAGUACUGACGCUGAGAUGCGAAAGCGUGGGAUCAAACA
rnacentral:rRNA from 1 species